rnacentral:lncRNA from 1 species
GGUGGCUUUUUUCCUCUCUGGUCGGAAUUACUGCCUCUUCUGCCUUCAUCAGGAGUGUCUCUUGUCAUGGGAGUUCUUUUUAUCCAGUUUCCAGUUUUCAAUCCAGGGUAAUUCUUCCAAAAAUUGUUGCAACCUGGUUGUGUUCCUGGGAGGAGGCGAGUUCAACGUCUGCUCACGCCGCCAUCUUCCUUUCAGCCUCUGGUAGCCGCAUUUUUGAUGGUGGCCUUUCAGUCCUAUGAGGUUUCCAUGGAGCAGUGGCCAGGGGGUGGGAGCUGCCCCACACCUCAUUUUUAGAAGUGUCUCCUUUUCAGGUCUCAGGUCCAUGGGACUCCUUUCAACUCCUCUCACCAACGCCAGCUGAGGAGCACUCCCUCUUCACAUCUCUAAGUUUCAGCUCUGCAGGGUCCCUCCUCCAAGCUUCUAAGUUUUAAUAAUUCCAACCUCUUCUUUGCUCCUCAGCCCUAGGAGGGUUAGCUGUUUCCUGCCAUUGCUACCUCUGUGCUGGAGUCAGCCCAUAUGGGCUUGCAAGAACCGAUUGUUAAAUUUUCAGGAAUUUUGCAAGUCAGUUGUUAAACCAUUGGUAGCUGGAAAUCUGCUAUGGUAGAAGUAUUUACACCUUGGAAAUUGGCAAAUGCUACAGAUCAAGUUUCCCCAACCAAAGAGCUGGUUAUAAACACUUAGCAGCCCACCACUGCUUCAGAGUUCUCUUUUUACUCCUUCGGUUACCCAGUUAAUAACUUUAUACCUAGUUAAGAAUCCUUUAGAUUUUUUUCUCUCUAUUCAAUUAACCAGUGUGGUUUCUGUAUCCCGAAUGGACCCUGAAUGAUACACAACCUUGUGGAGUUUUGCAUCUAUCAAACUCAAUUAUACUCCAGGAAAACUGAGGUCACUUUUGAGCUAGUUGACCUUAGCGAUCAUCAAUCCAAAGCCCUCAUUUUACAGAGGAAAAAAUGUAGUGCAGAAAAGCCAGACGAGAACCCAGAUCCUGACGACCAUGGUGGGUUUGGAACCAGAGGCUUGGUGAUGCCUGCUUUGAAGAGAUACGGGAAGAGAAGGUGGUUGAGCUCCCUCCCUAAAGAUGGUGGUUGUGCUUUGCUGCUGCGGAUGCUGUUACCCACUUCAAGGACUCUGUGCUACUCAUUUCAUUACCAAUGUGGGUUUCAAGCUCUGGAAGAUCAACAAAAAGGGUCACAGUAGACUUCUGACUUGUUAUCCAGUCCAUACUGGCUUUAUUUGGAUGUCAUAGAGGCCUAUGCAAUGAGCA